CGCUCUAUCCACUGAGCCAAACCGGUUUCGGCAAGAGACCAAUCUUUUAAAAAUGCAAAUUCCAUCCCAACACCUUUUCUUAAAAAAAAAAAUUAAAAUAAAUAAAUAAAUAAAUAAAAAUUCCUGAAAUGCUGAGUCAGGACUAGAACAUUCCCUUUCACAGGGUAUAUAAAGUCCUCCCCAACAUGCCCCAAGGAUCUCUCCAGCCCCUUCCAUACUUGCCAGCCCAGCCAUGGUGUGCUUUCAACUCUGACCUUUGCAUAUGGUGAUUCUCUACCUCAGAUAUCCUCAAAACUGUCUCCAUAUGUACCACCAUUUCCCUUCACUUGCCUAAUCCUUCCCCUUCACCUCUUUGCUCAAGUAUAUCUGGGCUGCUUCCUCUCCCAGGUUGGGCAUCGACCUCAGAUGACAUUGUACUGUCCCACUGCAAAGGCUGUGACCUCUUUCCUAUUGGUUAAUGAACAACAAGAGAACUAUCCCCUAUCCUUGUACCUCAGGUGCGUAGUGCCUUGCCUGGCAUGUUGAUGGCGUUCUGAUGACAUGACUGGUCCACCUGGAGCUGAGAGCUUACUUAACAAGUGCUAGUGCAAUCUUAAUUCUGCAAACAGUGGCUGAAACACACAGCGCCACCUGGAGGGCAUGAGUCAGGUUUGUGCACCAGGGCACCAAUCCCAAAGGUGGUCAGAGGAUCUCCUUCAAGGAGAAUUUGGAAGAAGGGAGAAAAAAAGAUCCUGGUGGUUGACAUGUGGGAGGCAGAGCCAUGAGUUCCACAGGAGGAUCUAUAUAUAGCUCUGUGAUCAACAGCUUUGCUCCUUGCCUCCUCAGCAGCUGGAGACAGGCUGUUGCUUCCAGAUGUGGGAUGGAGAAGGUGCAUGCAGGCAAACUUACACAUGCCUGGUGUGCAGCAAGAGGCUCCACAAACAUUUGCCCAAAAUGCUUCUCCUGAAGACAAUCUCAUGUUUAUUAGCAUAAGCUCUGGAAAUUGGGACUAGCAAAUUGAAGAGUCACUUAUGUGCUGAGUGACAGACCAAGCCCAGGCCCCAGAACUUUGAUCCAACCUCAACCUGAGCCAGCACCAGAAUGUAUAACCACUCCUUAACAGCCCCUCCUGGGAACUGACUGACAGCAAGAGAAGACAUUUCCUGUUCAACUGUCCCAUCACACCACCUGCUCAUCCCACUCCCCCAUUCCAGGUUCUGUUUAGUCUUGCAUACCCCUCCAUAUAAAAGAAACCCUCUUUCCAUCUGCCCUUUGAGAGGCUUACAGAGCUUAUGACUGGAGUGUUCUUGCCACUGCAUUAGACCUCCUACUGUAACAGACCCCUUCUCUUACACAAUAAUCCUUCUGAGUAAAGUCUCUCCUUACCUAAGUCCAGAUUUGUUUUUAACACAAGAAUGUAUGGAAACACACCCAGUUCCAGCUUGAUUCAUUUUUCCAGACAAGAAACAAAAAAACCUGACCACCAAAGACUGAAGGGCAUCAAUACUGACCACAGUAUGGAUGAUGGUGAUAAUGGUGGCUAGUCUCUUCAUAUAGAAGUUUCUGGCUACUCUGCUGCUUCCCUACUGUUAUAUAAUAAAGAUUUUGGCUGGUCUUUGUUGCCAGUUCCUAAAUGGGAACCUCUAAAUCCUUAGAAUUUCCCCAGUGAUAGGGCUGUUUUUGUUAUUCAUGGUGAACCCUGAGAUCACACCUAAGUUUAUGUUUAACAAGGUAACUCAUGGUGGGCCCUAGAGUUUCAGAAUGGGGCUGGCCAUACCAGAAAGACCAACCAGGAGAUGAGAGAAUUGGAGUACUGAGACACCUGAUACCACUAUAGCCUCCUAGGGUGGGAGGAGACGAAGACUGAGUUCAAUCAUAUCAUGUGAACUAUGAGUCAAUCAACCAUUCUUAUUAAUAAAAACCCAAUAACUCUGGACCCUGAAGCGCAGGUCAGCUUCUUGGUUGGUGCUGAAAGGGUGAUGCAUCCUUGGGACGUGCAAACAUCAAGUUUGGGACUCUCCCAGACCUCGCCCUAUGUGUCCCUUCUUUUAGCUGGUUUUAACUCAUAUCUCCUCCCCCCCAGCCCCCGCAAUAUAUUUUUAUUGAUUUCAGAGAGGAAGGGAGAGGGAGAGAGAGAGAGAAACAUCAAUGAUGUGAGAGAAUCACUGAUCAGUUGCCUCCCAACCCAGGCAUGUGCCCUGACCAGAAUGGAAUCUGGGACCCUUCAGGCCGCAGGCAAUGCUCUAUCCACUGAGCCAAACCAGCUAGGGCCUAACUGGUAUUUUUUAAAAGGUAAAAGGUAAUUGUAACUACGGUGCUUUCCUAUCAGUUGUUCUGGUGAAUUAUUGAACAUGAGUGGCAACCCCCCGGGUUUGUAGUCAGUGGGUCAGAAGUAUGAGUGCCUUGGGGCCCCUGAGCUUGUGGCUAGCAUCUGAGGUGAGGGCACUUUGUGAGGGCAGUGCCCUUAUUCUGUGAAGUUUUGCCUAACUCUAGGUAGUCAUUGUCUGAUAACUGAAAACGUUUGUACCACAAACCACCCAUCCUCCAUACCUCAGAUCAUACACGGAUCUACAAGCAGGGCCAUGGGGACGGGAUGGAAGAGCAUGUGGUCAGCAAUGAGCACCCACUGGCCUAUGGAAACACCACUCCUGCUAAAGCUUCCUGCUACGCAUGAGCCAGAGCAAAACCAGAAGUCUUCCUAACUAUGAAAAAACAUGGGUCAAUAGUGUUACCUGAG